rnacentral:lncRNA from 1 species
ACAAAGCUUAAGUCCAAGUGGAUCAAGGACCUCCACAUCAAACCAGAUACACUCAAACUAAUAGAAGAAAAAGUGGGGAAGCGUCUUGAACACAUGGGCACUNGGAGAAGAUUUCCUGAACAAAACACCAAUGGCUUAUACUCUAAGAUCAAGAAUGGACAAAUGGGAUCUCAUAAAACUACAAAAACUCAAUAAAACUCUUGCAAACUAAAUCUAAGAAAACAUCCAUCAGCAUCAAGUAGGCUUCAUCCCAGGCAUGCAGGGAUGGUUUAAUAUACGGAAAACCAUCAAUGUAACCCACUAUAUAAACAAAUUCAAAGAUAAGAAGCACAUGGUCAUUUCAUUAAAAACUGAGAAAGCAUUUGACAAAAUUCCACACUCCUUCAUUAUAAAAGUCCUGGAAAGAUCAGGAAUUCAAGGCCCAUAUCUAAACAUAGUAAAAGCAACAUACAGCAAACCAGUAGCUAACAUCAAACUAAAUGGAGAGAAACUUGAAGCCAUCCCACUAAAAUCAGGGACUACACAAGGCUGCCCAUGCUCUCACUACUUAUUCUAUAUAGUACC